rnacentral:rRNA from 1 species
UUAAUGUCUUGUAAUUGGAAUGAUGGGAAUUUAAACCUCUUCCAGAGUAUCAAUUGGAGGGCAAGUCUGGUGCCAGCAGCCGCGGUAAUUCCAGCUCCAAUAGCGUAUAUUAAAAUUGUUGCAGUUAAAAAGCUCGUAGUUGAAUUUCUGCUGCAUUACAUAUCUCUUGUUUGAGUUUGUUUUUGUGGCUUAUUUCGGUUUGAUUUUUUCUUUCCGGAUGAUUACUUUGAGAAAAUUAGAGUGCUCAAAGCAGGCUUUUGCCUUGAAUAGUUUAGCAUGGAAUAAUAAAGUAGGACUUUGGUUCUAUUUUGUUGGUUUUAGGUACCAAAGUAAUGGUUAAUAGGAACAGUUGGGGGCAUUCGUAUUUAACUGUCAGAGUAAAAUUUCUUAGA